GACGAACGCUGGCGGCGUGCCUAACACAUGCAAGUCGAGCGAGGAGGAGAUAGCUUGCUAUCGAAUCCUAGCGGCGGACGGGUGAGUAACGCGUGAGCAAUCUGCCUCAGACAGGGGGAUAACGCAUCGAAAGAUGUGCUAAUACCGCGUAAGACCACAGCACCGCAUGGUGCAGGGGUCAAAGGAGCAAUCCGGUUUGAGAUGAGCUCGCGUCCGAUUAGCUAGUUGGUGAGAUAACAGCCCACAAGGCGACGAUCGGUAGCCGACCUGAGAGGGUGAUCGGCCACAUUGGAACUGAGACACGGUCCAGACUCCUACGGGAGGCAGCAGUGGGGAAUAUUGGGCAAUGGGCGAAAGCCUGACCCAGCAACGCCGCGUGAGGAAGAAGGGUUUCGGCUCGUAAACCUCUGUCCUAUGGGACGAAGAAGUGACGGUACCAUAGGAGGAAGCCCCGGCUAACUACGUGCCAGCAGCCGACGG
rnacentral:rRNA from 1 species